UUAUAUAGAGUUUGUCCACCGCGAUGAUAGCUCGUGAACCUUCUUGAAUAUGUUUUUUCCGGAGAGGGAACAGGAUUUUGCGUCGCUCCAGGAUCUCUUUAGGAAACUGAUCGUUGACGCUGAAAUCCGUUCCUCUCAGCUCCCGUCCGCGGCUCUUCACCAGCUCUUUCUGCUUGAAACGUUCGAAUUUGGCUACGAUUGGUCUGGGUCUGUGUGCCCCGGGUCGCUUAGCUCCUAUACGGUGAACACGAUCGAAAUUGAUGGUUUUUACGGUGUCCUCCGGGAGCUUCAAGUAGGAUUGCAAAAACUCCUCGUUUCCGGGUUUUCUUCCGAUUUCUCCGGUAGACCCGAAAACACGAGGUUGUCCCUCAUGCUGCGGGCCUGGAGCUCGGUGACGGUUUCCCAGAUUUUUUUAUUCUCCUCCGAGAGCUGGGUCAUUCCCUUGGUGAGGGAAUUCACCGACUCUCUGAGAGCGGCGUUCUCCACAGCCAGUGCUUCCACCUGCUGUUGGCUGAACUCUACCGACUCCCGGAGAGCCUGAAACUCCUUGUGAAGAAUUUCCAAAAUAGAGAGGCGAGCGUCGAAACUGGACAGCUUCUUAUCAAUGGACUCCAAAAUGUCCGCCAUUUCGCUGGACUGAGAAGAAGCCCCUGGUGAAUCUUCUGGGCGACUCCUCUUGGUGGAUGGAGCUCCUUUGCUGCUGGACGGAGUGUUGGUUGGUUUUCCCAUUACGACUCGGUCGAAACACUCGUCGAUGUAAGCUUGCAAACUGUCCAGAUCUUCUUCACCGUCCUCCAGUGUACUUCUGGUAGUGAGUAACUUAUUAAUAUAAAUUUUAUGGCUUUUAAAGUUGUUUUAUAACUGUGUUGGCUAAGAAAACUAAUCCAUGUAGUUUAUAGAUUACUGACUUGCUGCCUUGCUCAAUAUUGCCGAGGUUCGCGUUGAGGUCUGCGUUACUACAGCAUAGCGUCUUCCUGUUCUCUUCCUCUUCCUGUUCCUGUAGUGAACAUUUUUAAGGUCACCAAUAGUUGUGAAGUUGGUUCUGGGUUCACGCUUAGCAAGAAAGUUUCUGUGUAAUAACACAAAAGUCCUGUAACUUAUAACAGUAGAAACAUUAUUGUGGAAUCAUUUUUAAAACAUUUUAAUAACUGACCAUCAUUGUGAGAGCAACUGUUUAGUAAGUGGCGUAGACACAUUUAAGUAUUCACAUUGUUCUUUAAAUUGUCUUGGUUCUAUAUCCUUCACUGGCCACUUUAUUAGGUAUAUAUCUACACUCGUUGUCCAACCUUACAGGUCCACUUACCAUAUAGGUUGCACUUUGUAGUCCAAUUUCUGAGUGAUAAAAUGAGUAAGUGAUGUUCUUUUAGGACAGAGAGGGUCAGUAUUACCAAAAAGAUGAAAGAAAAUACAUCUAUGAUCACUUGUCAGAAGAUCUUCACAGCAGAUGUGAUCAAUAUCUAACCCCAGAGAAAAAAGGUAGGUCCAAAGUAUGUCCACCUGCAUAAGUAGCACCUGUAACAAACUGCUUAAAAUGAAAAGAUUCAACAAUAUUAAGAAAUUCAGUAGCUACACAAUCUGUGUCAUCAUCAAUAUGCAAAUUAAAGUCCCCAAGCAAUAACACUUUGUCCAGCUUAAUAAUGGAGGUCAGAAAGUCAGUAAACUCAAAUAAAAACUGACCUGCUGGACCUGGAAGAUGAUAAAUUAAAACACAAUACAAUGGCUUUAGCCCAACAACUUUAGUCAAAUGAGUUCAAAAGUAGAUACAUGUUCUGUGCUCCCUAACUGAGCAGAAUAGUGGUUCUUCCAGAUCACUGCAAAACCUCCACCACGCCCAGACAGACAUGGAGUCCCAAUAAAAGAACGGUCUGAGGGGCGUUGUUGGUUUAAGUGGAUAAAUUCCAUAUUCCACUGCCAAGAUUCAGUUAAGCAUAAAAAAUCCAUGUUCCUCCUAAUGAAAACAUCAUUUAGAAGGUGAGCCUUAUUAGUCACAGAGCGCAAAGCACCCACUGCCCACCGCGAUCAAAACCACACCUGAGGCACGUGCGAGGCCGAUGCAGACCCACCACAACACCGUGAGUACUGGGCCAGAUUAGCCGCAGGUAGGAAGAUCUGACGGGGCAGCACUGGCGCCACACAGCGCUGAACUCACCCACCUCCAUGCCGGGACAGCUCAACGUUCGACACGUGGUAGCUGGAAUACAAUACUGGGGAUUUAAGGCGCACACUUGUUUCCAGAAACGUUGGGAUCUCACUUGAAGACCAGCCCUCAUACCUCGCUUUCUCCUACAGUGCUUCUUCAUAGUAGUAGAUAGUAUAUAAUUCACUCACUUUCUUGGAAGAAAUGUCCUUUAUCAAGUUUUGAUUGAGUUCUUUUUAACUACUCUUUCAAUGCACUCUCAAUCAUCUCAUUCUUCAACUUGUGGAAAGGGUCUGAAGCACAACCAACAUUACAUAAUGUUCUUCCAUGUGUUGUGUGCAAUUACACAAAAUCUCUAAAUCUUACUGAAAGUUGCUUUAAGUUAAACAUACGUUGCCAUGCAAAAAAAAGACUAAUCACUAAUGGUUUUUACUCAUGGUUUUGGCCUGAUCAUAGUCCCAAUAUUUGGUCUCACAGCAAACACAAACUAGUUAGAGGGCAGGAUACACCCUGGACAGGCCACCAGUCUAUCACAGGGCAUCAUGUUAACUCUUAAAAUACACAGACACUUUAAAAGGCCACUUAUCCUUUGGGGUUGGGGGGGUUGCUGGAGCCUAUACCAGCCUUCGAUGAAAACAUUCUGGUCAGGCCGCCAGUCCAUCUCAGGGCAUCAUGUAAACUCGUGAAAUACAGGGAGAUUCACUUGAAAGAGGCCCCAAAUAUUCUGUUGUAACUCCCAUUAGAGUGAAGCAAUCUGAACCAAAAAAUGUUAUAUACCUUUAAUUAUGUGCAAUCGAUUGCAUUACAUGUGAUGCUGGUAGUGAUCUUUGUUUUCUGGCAGACACAUGAUGAGGUACGUCGGUCUGCACCUGGAAGUCGCAAAAGAAGGUUAAACAACGCAAUGGUUGUCCAGCACCUGCCUCACUGCAUCACCACAGGGACAUCCUGGCUUGUUCAAAGCUCCAUACUGAGGAGAACAUUGCAUGUUGUUUCUUUCAGACUACUUCAUCCUAGCAAGUUCUUACACCAUAUUUGGGGCCUCUCACAAGUGAAUCUCCUUGUAGAUACUGAAAAUGUAAAGUGAUAAAUAUCUAAAAAUGUAUUACAUAAGGUAUUAAAUGUGUGAAUGUCCAAAGUAUCAUAAGCUUGAUUCAGUUUAGAUCCUUUUCUGUUCUUCAUGCUCUUUUUACUCCUUUGUCAGACAUAUAUUAUUCACAACCUGCAGCAUUUAGAAGUGUUACCAGAAGAUAACAGAGCAGUUUAAAUGUCUGCAGUGUUGGAGUGACCUUAAACUGUGCAAUAUCUACAGCUCCUGUGUUUCCUCACCACCUUUUGUCUAAACUUGGCCCUGUUAAAUGUGAGCCCACUAGAGUUAUUUGGUAUCAAAAUCCAAAUAGUAAUGCAAUUACAAUUAUUAAUAAUUUGUGCAGUUUUUUUCGCUUAGCGCUCAAUCAAAAGGUCUGCUUCAUGGAGUCACAUCUUACCUAACACUUCAGUAGCAUUGUGUGGUACCCUCCAUUGCAGUGGUCUCCAACUUGGGUCCUGGAGAGCUACAUUCCUGCAGCGUCUAGUUCCAACCACAAUCAACCACAGCUAAUUAACUUCUUCAGACGUUCCUGAUAGGCUGGAUUAGUGUAAUAUUCUUUGAAUAAUAUGUAUGUAUGUAUGUAUGUAUGUAUGUAUGUAUGUAUAUGUAGCUUUAUGAACCUCAGACAUUGGGCAUGAUGACCUUAUGUGUCGUGCGGCAGAUCCAGAGCAUCAGUUCUAUUAGCAGUACUCUAAGGAGAUCAUACAAGCUAUGUGUGUACAGUUUAACUCUGUGUCAGUAAAGGGUUCAACUUUAAAGUAGCUGAGUUCACUAAUUACAAUGGCUGUCUGACAUUUCUGGACAUAUGUGUUUCCUUUCUGCAAGACAUUUAAAUACUGCAGUCUGGUAAAUGGUCUUGGUCAGUAAAAAUAGCUGAACUUUCACACCUCAGUGUGGCAUGUUUUUGCAUUUUGCUUUAUGAAGUAGAAGGACUGCCCCUCCUGCAGUAACAGCUUCAGAGUAGGUAGAUGACACAAGCAACAGUGGGAAGAUUAGUAGGUGAAAAGCAGAUGAACUGAACUUAGAUUAUAAAUGCAUUACUGAAAGAUAAUUCAAAAUACAUGAAACAAGAUGUGUCUCUCUUUAGUUUAGUUAGUACAGCAAAUAUAAGCAAUGCUGACUUACACAUACACCAUAUGUCCAAAAGUUUGUAGACACCUGCUCAUCCAGCAUUUCUUCUGAAAUUGGGGGUAUUAGUAGAGAGUUUGUCCCAUUUAUUACAGUCUACUCUUCUUCAAAUGCUUUACAGUAGAUGUUGGAACAUUGAUGUGAGAAUUUGACUGCAUUCAGCCACAAGAGCAUUAGUGAAGGUCAGGUACUGAUGUUGUGUUUUGCAUGCCAUUUCAGUAGUAACAGCUUCUGAGAAGGUUAGUGACUCAAGUGAAGGAAAGCAACAGAAGUAAUUCACACAUGAUCUGAAAUGCUGAUGAACUAAACUAUUUGAAUUGUGUACAUUAGAUAAUAAAAUGUAUCUUAUUUGACAGCAUGUGUACAUGUACAUGUACUUUAGGUUAAACAUAAAGUUUUCAGUGAAAUUGCAGCAAUGUAAAUACCAGGCUCAUCUGGAUUCUACUGGCUGUAGGCCUGGGGCUUCUGCUGAUUUUGACCAUCAUUAUAACCUGUAUGUUGGCAAAAAAAUGCAGUAAGUAAUGAUUAUCUUACAUUUUCUCACAGAUUGUUUUUUAGCAUGCUUUUAAAAUGUUGCUAUUGUAAAGGACAGGAUUAAAAACGAAUAACAAUGUUACUGUUGUGCUAUCUUGUGUAUUAUGAAUAUUGUGUUAUUACAUAAGUAUACGUAGGCCACUAAUUCUUUAAUAUCUCCCUCUAACAGAUGGAAAUCAAACAGAGAGCAGAGGGAGGGUCAGUAACUCUGCAGUUCACAUACUCUCUCAGGCAAUCAGAGAUGAUGAGGUGAUCUACAGCUCUAAGGUUUUGGAAUAAGAGGUGUAAGGAGGGGGUUUCUGGCCAGGUCUCUUACAAUGAAGAUACUGCAAUGCAAGACAUCUUACAAUGAAUUUGUACUAUAUCUCAUAUAAUUAUGAUGAAAAUGGUUUUGUUCUAAGACUUUAGCUUAAGGUUUUUACUUCCUCUUGAUUCACACUUUCUAUCUGUAAAAUGCCCUUUAGAAUUACCUGCAGCUACACUGCUUAUACAAAUGUAAAGUUAAAGGAAUGGAUUGCUGAAAAAUGUCGUCGACAAGACAGGUUUUGUGUCCAAAUACUGUUUCUUUAGUUUAGCUCAGGAGCUACAAGGUUAAUAUUGCUAACAAUCAUUUACAUUUAUGGCAUUUGGCUGAUGCUCUUAUGCAGGGCGACUUACAAUUUGAUCAUUUUACACAGAUAGGCCAA